UACAGAGGUCUCAAGCGUUGUUCGGAUUCAUUGGGCGUAAAGGGUGCGUAGGCGGCGCGGUAAGUCGGGUGUGAAAUCUCGGAGCUUAACUCCGAAACUGCAUUCGAUACUGCCGUGCUUGAGGACUGGAGAGGAGACUGGAAUUUACGGUGUAGCGGUAAAAUGCGUAGAUAUCGUAAGGAAGACCAGUGGCGAAGGCGGGUCUCUGGGCAGUAACUGACGCUGAGGAGCGAAAGCGUGGGGAGCGAACAGG
rnacentral:rRNA from 1 species